GGCCUAUCAGAUUGUGAGAUGGAAACGUUUGGUCCGCCCAUUGUUUUGCAUUGACGUGUUUUCACGUCACGUGACUCCCGAGUUCCCGUCUCAGGAAAGGAAAACAUGGCGGACAGUCCUUGUUUUUUCAGAUAAAAACAUGAUUUUGUAACUUAGUCUGGGCAUAAAAAUACAUUCUGACACCAUUUCUAGCGAGAAAUGUGGUCUUUGCUUCCACAGUCUUCAGCCAGUUUGUGCUUAUGAUAUAUAUUUUAAUAGUUAUCACGAAUGUUUUUAUCGUUGCUAUGGUGGUUGCUAUGACGCUGCCAUGCACACAACGUCGUAGCGUGCUGUUUAAAUCACCGUCCCUGCGUGGUGUCGUUCAGUGAUUGUGUAUGUUAUUCAUGUUAAAUAAUAUUAAUAUUUGGGGCUAGAUUACACCUCUAAUGCGAAGGAUCUUGCGAGUCUGUUUAGAGGCGGACAUGAGUGUGACACCGGACCGAGAUCGCGAACGGACCGGAACUGACGUGUGGCUGGCGUAAAAAAAGGUUUUGUAAACAUUCUGUCCAUUUAACUUAGCGCUGUCAUAAACACGGACCAUUUGGAAGACAACGAUGUCAUCUUCCUUCUGUCAGGAGGAUCCAAGUGAAGCUACAGGAGUUUCAUUAACGUCAAUAACUUGGACCGAACAGUUUGUUUUGCUUGAUGAAGAGGAGGAAGGGCAGCCUGGAGAGAAAGAGAAGCCGGGUUGAGCCCACUUCCAUCAUCCACGUACCACAAGGAAGAUGAGGGGGAGAAAUUAUCCUACCAUUAAAGAGGUAGUACUGACGCAUUUAUGGAGAUGGGACAUGAGGGCCUUGUCUGCGUGCUCAAGAGAAGAUUCCACAGAGUUCAAGCUGAGCAGGCUGCAGCAGGUUUGGAGGAAUCCUCCUCUGAAGAGGAAACAUGGCGAAGUACUUCUCCACUGAUGAAGAAAUUUAUUCUCAAGAGAAGCUGCCUCAGCUCCACGGUCCCUCCUGCAGCUUCCACUCCUGAUGCUAACCCCCUGUUUACAUCACACCAUCCGGGCAGACCUGGAGUCACAGAACUUUGUCCAGAGCUGCCGUCUGAGAAUUGUUGAUCAUAUAAUUUCCAGCAGAUGCCUUAAUGUAAUGUUUGUGCACAAUAAAUGACAUUGAUCAUAA